CGUGCCAACUGUCUGUUUUUCCGAGUGGACAAUAAAGUUUCGAAAGUUUGAAAAAGGAAGAGAAAAAACCCCCACGCCCCUUAGGCUUCCCGGGCUUGGACGCCUGCGGCCCGGCUCAGUCGGAGGUCCGGCGGCAGUGUGCUGGCGGAGGCGUGGUCGGCGCGCCGGGAUGGGGGUCACCGUGGACGUGCACGAGGUGUUCAAGUACCCCUUCGAGCAGGUGGUCGCCAGCUUCCUCCGAAAGUAUCCAAACCCCAUGGAUAAAAAUGUCAUUUCCGUAAAAACUGUGGAGGAAAGAAAAGAUGUGUCAACAGGGAUCAUCUAUAGAAAGAGGAUUGCAGUCUGUCAGAAUGUGGUUCCAGAAAUUUUAAGGAAGGUGAACAUUUUAAAGGUACCUAAUAUCCAGUUAGAAGAGGAAUCAUGGUUCAAUCCUCAGGAGAGGAACAUGGCUAUAAGGAGUCACUGCCUUACAUGGACACAAUAUGCAUCCAUGAAAGAAGAGUCUGUCUUCAGGGAAAGUAUGGAAAAUCCAAAUUGGACAGAGUUCAUUCAGAAAGGCAGGAUUUCAAUCACAGGGGCUGGUUUUCUCAACUGCGUUUUGGAGAAUUUUGCUAGUACAUUUUUAAGACAGGGUGUCCAGAAGUAAUUUCUGACCUAUUCGUUGUCAUUGUACCUGUUACGGCGAUCGGUGAUCUCUGAUGUCACUGGUGUAGUGUUAACUCUCACCAUGAUUAUUCCAGCUCUCGCAGUGCCACUUAGUAGCUGGAUCACUUUCAGGAAUUAGAAUAAUGGAGAUGCUGCUAAAGGAACAGUGUGGUGCCCCCUUAGCCGAAUAAAGAAUCACCAGGAAGUCGUGCUGUGUCUACUUCUGCUUGAGCAUAUUUCCUCGGACACAACACAUCCAGAGACACGGAUUUAGAGAUACAGGUUUAAGGAUGUGGUGUUGGCAGCUUAGAGAAGAGGAGACCUUCCUGCUGGCACUUGACGUGAUCCAUGCCCCUGGGAGUCGGCCCCAGAGAGAGACUCUUGUGGGGCUGACACCUUCUGGCUGAUUCUUAAUGGCACAAGCUCUGCAAUUUUACAAAUAAAGAAAAAAUCCCAGAGAAGGUGAUGUUCAUAGAAAAAAUCCUGGAGAAGCUGAUGUCCAUCCUUCAUCAGGACAUCCUGCUGAUUGCCUGGUGAUGGUGUCAGGGCAGCUAAGGAUGGGCCAGAGGCCUGGAAAGUACUGCGUGUUUCUACUUGUUCUCUGCAUCAUGGCUCAUAGAACUCACAAGAGGAUGCUGGGGCAAAUAAAGGAGUUAAACCUGAUACGUGAUUCUUGGGUGGCCCGAAACAGACAGAAAUACACCAGACCUAUGUUGAAGUUAAGCCAUAUUCAUAGAAAUGUUGAAGAGUCUCAGAAGUCAGGAGCACUUGACUUUUUCUACCCAGCAAUACAACGUACCUGCCACCAGCAUAGCUUUUAUAAUGCGAACUGAUUGGUCCUUAACACAACCUGGAGCGGGCAGGGGAGCUGUGGGCUAUCAUCUUGGCUCCUUCUAACUCAUUCUGGGAUGUGGAGCAGAUCACGUGACCUCUUCUUUUCUUUUCUUUUUUUUUUACUGGGCAAAUGGGGAUAAUCGGGCACAGAUCUUUCUACUUGUGAUGAUUUUACCAGGGUGUUUGGUGUAAAAAGCUCAAGUCUGGGAGCCAAACGGACAGAAGCAAGUUUGAAUAUAUGCGCGGCUCCCAGCAGCUCCAUGAUCAUGUACGUAGUUUAAAGUCUUUCUGAUACUCAUUUUUAAAGUUAUAAAAUGGGGUUAUAGAGUUAACCUUACGAGGUUGUUGGAACAAUUGGACAACAUGUGAUUAAGUGCCUAGCAUGCUUUUUGGUACACAGAAGUAAAUAGAAGCCAUUAUUAUUAUGUGAAACAGUUUUGGAAAUGUGCUUUUCCAGUGUAAUGUAAUGUAGUAUUACUGUUUGAAAAUUAGAUGAUGGUAGUUUGCGUUUUCUAUGAUGGGAAGCCAAAAUGUAAGUACGCACUGUCUACACGAAAGCUUGAAGAGAGGCAAUAAUUUGCAAUUCCUUUUAAGAUAAAAAUUGGGCCAUUACUGGAAAGUCUUGGGGAAAUCUUGUUUUUUAAUGUUUAAAAAUUUUCCAUUUAGUGCACUGAUGAAUUUCAGAGGAAUUGUAUCUUUCUUCCUUCUUCUUUUUUUUUUUAAAUACAAGCCAGCCACUGUGGGCUCCUCUUAUGGUAUUUGAGCUGUUUGUGCUGCCUGAGUUUUGUGUGUCAGGAUAAUUUCCCUUCAUUUCCUUAGUGUUUCAUUCUUUGGUUGGGUUCAGAGGGAAAAUGAAUGACGGAAAUCGGAACAUGCUUUGACCUCCUUUUCCAGUUUGUAAACGUAGGAUUUUGGAAUAAUGGCACAUUUCCAAAAGUAAAAGCUAAUGUGAGUUAUCAUGGAGGUGAGAGGUGGGAAACCAGUAUUUGGAAGUUGUGUUAGAAUAAUCAUUACUUUGGGAGUUCCCUAGUGGUCUGGUGGUUAGGAUUCCACACUUUCACUGCCAUGGCUUGGGUUCAGUCCCUGGUCAGGGAACUGAGGUCCUGCAAGCUGCAGGGUUUGACUAGAAAAAAAAGAGAGAGUAAAUGUAACACUUCACAUUCAGCAACUUGCAUUCCCUGAAGGCAGGAGUUCUCAGCCGUGGCUGUCCAUUAGUACCACGUGGGAGCUUUCUGCAGUCCUAUCGCCCGGGUUUCAUCCCAGACCAAUAAGUCAGAGUCUCCAGGGGUGGAUCCCAAACAUCAGCUUUUUUUUUUUUUUUUUUAAAUAAAGCUCCCUAGGUGAUUCCAAUGAACAGCUAAGGACACAAACUCUACAGUGAUUUCUAGGUGAUUUGCAGGUGUUAUCUGAUUCCUUUUUUAACACCUCCAAGGUAGCAAAGCAUCUUUGUAGCAGGAAUUAGUGUUAGAGUAAACACAGAGAGACUGACUUUAGGCCUUAAUUCCUCAAAGCUGGGGCGGCCGCUGCAAAUGCCUGCAGGGUCUGGCAAGUGAUCUGGUGCGUGAAGCAGGCUGGUGGACCCUAGGGAGACCCCAGGAAUAUGUGGCUGGCCAAAGGUGGGCAGCUGACACCCAGUUCAGCACACUGCUGCCAAGUGGCUGGUUUUUCUAGUUCUUCCAAUUUCCAAUUUUCUGGGAAAGGAUAGAAUUAAAAAAAAAAAAAAACAACUCCCAAUUUUUAUGUGUUGGCAACGAAUUCAGGAUUGUUUAAAACAUUGUGCUGGCCAAACAAAACAUGUUUGCCGGUAGUUUCCAGCCUUUGCUUCAAGAGUGUUAAGGACCAGCUUAAACAUCCCAGCCAAUUUUUGAGAGAUUUGCAUUUCCUGAUUCUGGAUGUUAAGCUGCUCUCUGCCUGUCCUCCAAGACUGCUUUCACGUGUAUUUUUCUCCCCUUUCCCGAGCCGUCCCCUGAACUCGCAUCAGACACUUUUCUUCACUAUUUUUUUUCCCCGUGGGCAUCCAUUACUUCAAGCUUACAUAUAUGGCUUAGAAAUCUUCUGUUCCUUUUAAAAUUAAUUAGGGCUUGUUAAAAAAUUUUUUUUUAAUUACAUGUCAGAACGCUUUUCCUGUGAUACAACAUUUAGAAGUCCACAUCUAACUUGACUGUCUAUAAAAUGUCAAAACCAGGAGUGUAGCCUUGUGGGCACAUUAGCAACAUGAGUGGGCAGGGUUAACUCCCAGACCUGGCCAGUCUGCUCCUGGCCUGGUUGCUGAACCUACACGUGAAGGUGAGGCCGUAUCAGAGUGAUUCUCAGGCUUCUGCUUGUACCAGAAAUCCUUGAGAGGGUGGGCUCAAUGGCAGGUUCCCAGGGUCUGCCCCAGUGAUUCAUGAAAUUUCAGUUGGGACUCAGGGAUCUGCACUUUAAAACAAGUUCACCAGGAGAUUUGGCUGUGCUGUUCCACAGACCAGAUUUUGAGAAACGGUGGUCCAGGGGAGGUGUUUGUGGCUUGUGUAUCUAUCGUGUAAGAAGGCUUUAUAGUCGAUUGGGCCCACUGAUGAAUACAGGUGAUCACUCAGGACACAGUAUCGAGCUCUCAUGCACAGAGAGGCUGACUUAGGGUACCCCUACAUGAUUGAGGUGCUUUCGCCAUGAAUGAGCUUUUGUGGUUUCAGUCAUGUGGAUACAAAAGGUGCUAUAUUCUUUUGAUAUAAAUUGCUUUGUGUGUCUUAUAAGCAGUAUUGUGUAGUGAUAUCUCAUUUAUCAGACAUCAUGGGUACACGGCAUAGCCGACUCAAGGUUGUUCUUUGUUUUUUAUGGACUGUGAUUGCUUUACAAUGUUGCGUUAGUUUCUGCGGGGCGGCAUUGUGAGUCGGCCAUAUGUAUGUGUAUAUCCCCUCCCUCGGAGCCUCCCUCCCACUCCACCCCUGUAGGUCAUCACAGAGCACUCAGUCGAGCUCCUUGUGUUACGUACCACUUCCAGCCAGCUGGCUGUUUUACACGUGGUAGUGUUUAUAUGUCAAUGCUGUUUUCUCAGUAAGGUUAUUCUUUUCAGUCGCACAUCUUUUUUGCUCUCAUUCAGCCAUUUACGUGGAACUCUUAAUUUAGUAUCUGUUUCCCUGCUUUUGUAAACAGAAUCAACUGAAGAUAGGAAUUUCAUUUCAGGGUGGUCAUUUAUGUUUUGACUUCUUUCAGGUUCUCUUCAGGUUUGUUAAAGCCCCUCUGCUGAACAGCUCCGCUCCUUGAGGUUUACCAUGGUUUUCCUAGUUUCUUCUUUUCCGUCACAGUUCCCUGUCAUGUCUCCCUGCCUUAACUCUGCAUAUCUCUAUGAACUUCCCUCUCCAUUGCUACCUGGGGUUGGGUAAUGCUGUUAAUUGCAUACUAUAUAUCAAGUAACAGUAAACCGGAGCCACGCGAGUCUUUGGGAGGCUUUUCUAACAGUGAAAUGGAUCGAUGUUGCUGUAUUAUUUUAGUGGCUCCACUGCUUCCUCUGACUGACUUCUUGAUCCUCAACUGCAGUUGUCAGAUCUGUGACCACAUGAUAAUGGAGAUAUUGCUACCAAUGAUGUCCUUAGAUCUGUACUCUGUGGUCUCCCCAACUCUGUUAGCGUUCUUAUAUAUACAGUUUUAUAAUGUGAAACGUAAGUAGAUUACAAAUGAACAUUUCUGUGCCAACUGUCUGUUUGGGAUAAAGUGUUUUUGAUUCAGUGUUACUGUGAUUUAGAGCUACAAAUUAGUUGUAUCCCUCUGAAAUUUGAUCCUGUCAUCCUUCUGAAAUAAAGGUGUCACAACUAAUAUUUAUGUGUGAGUUUUAAUUUCUUGAGGGCAUCACACCACCCGGCAGAGCUUGUGUGUAUCAUGUGUAGCAAUGAUAACCUAAUGUAGUAAUCUAGUCCUUUUAACAAUCCCAGAGAAGAGUGUUAGGCCAGUCAGAUGUAUUAGUCCGCUCCCUCCCCCGAGCUGAGCCAUCGCUUCUCCCAGAAACAAGCAGAGGCUGCCCUUACCAGAUGAGAAGAUGGGU